rnacentral:rRNA from 1 species
GGACUACUGGGGUAUCUAAUCCUGUUUGCUCCCCUAGCUUUCGUCCCUCAGCGUCAGUUGUGAUCCAGCGAGCCGCUUUCGCCUCGGAUGUUCCUGCGGAUAUCUACGCAUUUCACCGCUACACCCGCAAUUCCACUCGCCUCUCUCACACUCUAGCAUGGCAGUUUCGGAAGCAGCCUCUGGGUUAAGCCCAGAGAUUUCACUCCCGACUUGCCACACCGCCUACGGACCCUUUACGCCCAGUAAUUCCGAGCAACGCUGGCCCCCUACGUAUUACCGCGGCGGCUGGCAC